UACGAAGGGGGCGAGCGUUGUUCGGAUUUACUGGGCGUAAAGGGCGCGCAGGCGGCUCAUUUUGUCAGGCGUGAAAGCCCCGGGCUUAACCUGGGAACUGCGUUUGAUACGGAUGGGCUAGAGUUCGGGAGAGGAGAGUGGAAUUCCCAGUGUAGAGGUGAAAUGCGCAGAUAUCGGGAGGAACACCAAUGGCGAAGGCAGCUCGCUGGGACGGUACUGACGCUGAGACGCGAAAGCGUGGGGAGCAAACAGG
rnacentral:rRNA from 1 species